UACGGGGGGGGCAAGCGUUGUUCGGAAUUACUGGGCGUAAAGGGCUCGUAGGCGGCCAACUAAGUCAGACGUGAAAUCCCUCGGCUUAACCGGGGAACUGCGUCUGAUACUGGAUGGCUUGAGUUUGGGAGAGGGAUGCGGAAUUCCAGGUGUAGCGGUGAAAUGCGUAGAGAUCUGGAGGAAUACCGGUGGCGAAGGCGGCCCCCUGGACAAAGACUGACGCUCAGGUGCGAAAGCGUGGGGAGCAAACAGG
rnacentral:rRNA from 1 species